rnacentral:tRNA from 1 species
GCCCCCAUGGUGUAGCGGUUAGCACGCCAGGUUUUCAUCCUGGUAGCAGCGGUUCGAUUCCGCUUGGGGGUAC